UACGUAGGUGGCAAGCGUUGUCCGGAUUUACUGGGCGUAAAGAGCGCGCAGGCGGUCGGAUCAGUCGAAUGUGAAAGCCCCGGCUCAACCUGGGGAGGGUCAUUCGAUACUGUCCGACUCGAAGGCAGGAGAGGGAAGCGGAAUUCCCGGUGUAGUGGUGAAAUGCGUAGAUAUCGGGAGGAACAACCAGUGGCGAAGGGCGGCUUCUUG
rnacentral:rRNA from 1 species